rnacentral:rRNA from 1 species
AGCGAACGCUGGCGGCAGGCUUAACACAUGCAAGUCGAGCGCUCGUAGCAAUACGAGAGCGGCAGACGGGAGAGUAACACGUGGGAACGUACCCUUCAGUUCGGAACAACCAAGGGAAACUUUGGCUAAUACCGAAUACGUCCGUAAGGAGAAGGAUUUAUCGCUGAAGGAUCGGCCCGCGUCUGAUUAGCUAGUUGGUGGGGUAAUGGCCCACCAAGGCGACGAUCAGUAGCUGGUCUGAGAGGAUGAUCAGCCUCACUGGGACUGAGACACGGCCCAGACUCCUACGGGAGGCUG